UGCAAGAGUGAGGUCAAUGAUGGAUAAUC
rnacentral:sRNA from 1 species